UACGAAGGGGGCUAGCGUUGCUCGGAAUUACUGGGCGUAAAGGGAGCGUAGGCGGAUAGUUUAGUCAGAGGUGAAAGCCCAGGGCUCAACCUUGGAAUUGCCUUUGAUACUGGCUAUCUUGAGUACGGAAGAGGUAUGUGGAACUCCAGUGUAGAGGGUGAAAUUCGUAGAUAUUCGGAAGAACACCAGUGGCGAAGGCGACAUACUGGUCCGUUACUGACGCU
rnacentral:rRNA from 1 species